rnacentral:lncRNA from 1 species
UCAACUGGGCAAAGUAUGCAUGAGUAUAUUUCAUAAAUAUAACUAAUGAUGAAUUAGACAGACAUUUUUAAAAGGUAGAGUCAAAGAUUAUCAGACAUGGGCAAAAGAUAAGACACUAUCUAAAUCAGUAAGCACACAUUCUCAAGGUAGAAAAUCUCUCUCUCUCCGCUUUAGCUCAUUAGUUGAGAUCCAAGAUCACAGUUGCU